rnacentral:rRNA from 1 species
GUGGGGAAUAUUGCACAAUGGGGGAAACCCUGAUGCAGCAACGCCGCGUGAGUGAUGAAGGCCUUCGGGUUGUAAAGCUCUGUCUUUGGGGACGAUAAUGACGGUACCCAAGGAGGAAGCCACGGCUAACUACGUGCCAGCAGCCGCGGUAAUACGUAGGUGGCAAGCGUUGUCCGGAUUUACUGGGCGUAAAGGGAGCGUAGGUGGAUAUUUAAGUGGGAUGUGAAAUCCCCGGGCUUAACCUGGGGGCUGCAUUCCAAACUGGAUGUCUAGAGUGCAGGAGAGGAGAGUGGAAUUCCUAGUGUAGCGGUGAAAUGCGUAGAGAUUAGGAAGAACACCAGUGGCGAAGGCGACUCUCUGGACUGUAACUGACACUGAGGCUCGAAAGCGUGGGGAGCAAACAGGAUUAGAAACCCGAGUAGUCC